GCUCAGGAUGAACGCUGGCGGCGUGCCUAAUACAUGCAAGUCGAACGAAUCUCUUUUAGAGAUGAGUGGCGAACGGGUGAGUAAUACAUAGGUAACCUGCCCCUGUGCGGGGGAUAACAGGAGGAAACUCCUGCUAAUACCGCAUAGCCAUGAGCACCGCAUGGAGCUCAUGCCAAAUAUCCUUUCGGGGAUAGCGCAGGGAUGGACCUAUGGCGCAUUAGCUUGUUGGCGGGGCAACGGCCCACCAAGGCAACGAUGCGUAGCCGGCCUGAGAGGGCGGACGGCCACAUUGGGACUGAGACACGGCCCAGACUCCUACGGGAGGCAGCAGUAGGGAAUUUUCGGCAAUGGGGGAAACCCUGACCGAGCAACGCCGCGUGAGCGAAGAAGGCCUUCGGGUCGUAAAGCUCUGUUGUAAAGGAAGAACGGCGCAUACAGGAAAUGGUAUGCGAGUGACGGUACUUUACCAGAAAGCCACGGCUAACUACGUGCCAGCAGCCGCGGUAAUACGUAGGUGGCGAGCGUUAUCCGGAAUCAUUGGGCGUAAAGAGGGAGCAGGCGGCCGCAAGGGUCUGUGGUGAAAGACCGAAGCUAAACUUCGGUAAGCCAUGGAAACCGGGCGGCUAGAGUGCGGAAGAGGAUCGUGGAAUUCCAUGUGUAGCGGUGAAAUGCGUAGAUAUAUGGAGGAACACCAGUGGCGAAGGCGACGGUCUGGGCCGCAACUGACGCUCAUUCCCGAAAGCGUGGGGAGCAAAUAGGAUUAGAUACCCUAGUAGUCCACGCCGUAAACGAUGGUCACUAAGUGUCGGGGGUCAAACCCCGGUGCUGCAGUCAACGCAAUAAGUGACCCGCCUGAGUAGUACGUUCGCAAGAAUGAAACUCAAAGGAAUUGACGGAAG
rnacentral:rRNA from 1 species